rnacentral:rRNA from 1 species
CCUACGGGGGACUGCAGUGGGGGAUAUUGCACAAUGGGGGAAACCCUGAUGCAGCGACGCCGCGUGUGGGAAGACGGUCCUCUGGAUUGUAAACCACUGUCCCCAGGGACGAAAAUGACGGUACCUGGGGAGGAAGCUCCGGCUAACUACGUGCCAGCAGCCGCGGUAAUACGUAGGGAGCGAGCGUUGUCCGGAAUUACUGGGUGUAAAGGGAGCGUAGGCGGGGAUGCAAGUUGGGUGUCAAAACUACCGGCUCAACUGGUAGUCGCACUCAAAACUGCAGCUCUUGAGUGAAGUAGAGGCAGGCGGCAUUCCUAGUGUAGCGGUGCAAUGCGUAGAUAUUAGGAGGAGCACCAGUGGCGAAGGCGGCCUGCUGGGCUUUUCCUGACGCUGAGGCUCGAAAGUGUGGGGAGCACACAGGAUUAGAUACCCGGGUAGUC